rnacentral:rRNA from 1 species
AGAUUGAACGCUGGCGGCAUGCCUUACACAUGCAAGUCGAACGGCAGCACGGGAGCAAUCCUGGUGGCGAGUGGCGAACGGGUGAGUAAUACAUCGGAACGUGCCCAAUCGUGGGGGAUAACGCAGCGAAAGCUGUGCUAAUACCGCAUAAGAUCUACGGAUGAAAGCAGGGGAUCGCAAGACCUUGCGCGAAUGGAGCGGCCGAUGGCAGAUUAGGUAGUUGGUGAGGUAAAGGCUCACAAGCCUUCGAUCUGUAGCUGGUCUGAGAGGACGACCAGCCACACGUGGGACUGAGACGACGGCCCAGACUCCGUACGGGAGGCAGCAGGUGGGUAAUUUGGACAAGUGGGACGAAAGCCUGAUCCGAGCCAUCGCCGCGU